AUUGAACGCUGGCGGCAGGCCUAACACAUGCAAGUCGAACGAGUGGCGGACGGGUGAGUAAUGUCUGGGAAACUGCCCGAUGGAGGGGGAUACCUACUGGAAACAGUAGCUAAUACCUCAUACCCUCGGAUGUGCCCAGAUGGGCUUAGCUAGUUGGUAAGGUAACGGCUUACCAAGGCGAUGAUGCAUAGCCGAGUUGAGAGACUGACAAGCACAACGGGAACGGAGACACGGUCCAGACGCCUACGGGAGGCAGCAGUGGGGAAGAUUGCACAAUGGGCGCAAGCCUGAUGCAGCCAGGCCGCGUGUAUGAAGAAGGCCUUCGGGUUGUAAAGUACUUUCAGCGAGGAGGCGUUACUCGAAGAAGAAGCACCGGCUAACUCCGUGCCAGCAGCCGCGGUAAUAC
rnacentral:rRNA from 1 species